GAUCAUGGCUCAGGAUGAACGCUAGCUACAGGCUUAACACAUGCAAGUCGAGGGGGUAGCAUGAACUUAGCUUGCUAAGUUUGAUGGCGACCGGCGCACGGGUGAGUAACACGUAUCCAACCUUCCGUUUACUCAGGGAUAGGCCUUUCGAAAGAAAGAUUAAUACCUGAUACGUAUGGUGAGAUUGCAUGAUAACACCAUUAAAAGAUUUAUUGGUAAACGAUGGGGAUGCGUUCCAUUAGGUAG
rnacentral:rRNA from 1 species